rnacentral:rRNA from 1 species
UACGGGGGGAGCAAGCGUUGUUCGGAUUUACUGGGCGUAAAGGGCGCGUAGGCGGCCACCGCAAGUCGACUGUGAAAUCUCCGGGCUUAACCCGGAAAGGUCAGCCGAUACUGCGGGGCUAGAGUGCAGAAGGGGCAACUGGAAUUCUCGGUGUAGCGGUGAAAUGCGUAGAGAUCGGCAGGAACACCCAGGGGGAAACCAGCCGACUGGGGAUGUGCUGACGCUGAGGUGCGAGAGCGUGGGGAGCGAACCGG